rnacentral:lncRNA from 1 species
GUCCAUUCUCUCAUAUCAAUAUGAUAACAACCACGAUAUCAAUUUUGGUACCCUAUGUAAUUCAUGAACACACAAGCAUAACCCAAACCCUGGAACGAACAACUUCCAAUCUACAGAAUUUAAUCAAGAUAAUUCCUUCGAUUAUAAUUCCUCUCUACUCAACUCACAACCUUGCAAUAAACAGUGACUGAAAACUUCCAUACAUCAUCAAUCUUUCACAACAAUUGAUAAACAGUGAUCCAUAAAUAACUUUUUAAAUCAAAUAUUGAUUCAUUAAAUCGAUUCUCUUUACUAGAAUCAAUACUAACACAAAAGAAUAAAAAAAAACUAAGAAGAAGAGAUAGCAUCAAGCUUAUCUUGGCUCAAUACUAUCGUAGUCUAGCCUUUUCUUCCUCUCUUCCAUCCUCCUUAUACUAUCCCAAGAUACCAACUACUAUACUAUAGAUGAUAACUACUUUUCCUGACUAUUCAUCUAUUCUACCUGUUGAACCACCUUUUUAGCAGUUAUCUAUCUCUAUUUACAAUAUACACUAGAUAUCUAUAUUCUAAAAAUAACUACUUAUCCUACAUAGCCCCACUCCCAACUAUGCAUCGUUCUCGUAAACACAGUAUUGAUAAACAAAAAUCAAUCUUUUUUUUUUAUUUUUAUUUUUUUUAACUGGAUUGUUCAAUCUCUUCAAAUUU